rnacentral:rRNA from 1 species
AUUGAACGCUGGCGGCAUGCUUUGCACAUGCAAGUCGAACGGCAGCGCGGGCUUCGGCCUGGCGGCGAGUGGCGAACGGGUGAGUAAUACAUCGGAACGUGCCCAGUAGUGGGGGAUAGCUCGGCGAAAGCCGGAUUAAUACCGCAUACGACCUGAGGGUGAAAGCGGGGGAUCUUCGGACCUCGCGCUAUUGGAGCGGCCGAUGGCAGAUUAGCUAGUUGGUGGGGUAAAGGCCUACCAAGGCGACGAUCUGUAGCUGGUCUGAGAGGACGACCAGCCACACUGGGACUGAGACACGGCCCAGACUCCUACGGGAGGCAGCAGUGGGGAAUUUUGGACAAUGGGCGAAAGCCUGAUCCAGCAAUGCCGCGUGUGUGAUGAAGGCCUUCGGGUCGUAAAGCACUUUUGGCGGGAACGAAAAGGACUGUGCCAAUACCACGGUUCGAUGACGGUACCCGCAGAAUAAGCACCGGCUAACUACGUG